UGGUAGUUCAAAUUUUACAGUAAACCAACAAAUUUUGGCAGUAUUAUUUUUUAUUAAAGAAACUUAUUUUUUAAUCGACAAUACACGAUACAUCUUUCCUAAAAAAUUGUUUUUAUACCGUCGUCUUAAGAAUUUUUUACCUUAUUAAUUUUAAAGUCAGAUCAAGGUGAAACUCAUUUUUAGGAUAAAACUAGUCUCUUUAAAUAAAAUUUAAUUUUAAAAUUUUAAUAAAUUUUAUAAAAGAAUUUAAAUUCAUUUUAAAAUCAUUAUUUUUAACAGAAUAAACAAAUUAAUAUGC
rnacentral:rRNA from 1 species